CACCGCCUCUCAUAUACUUAUAUACAUGUAUGCUUUAGCUUCUUUACACUGUUAAAGACUUGUUUUAUUAUCUUUCUUCUUCCCCAGUUGUUUAAUUUCUGUUUUCUCCCGUUUCAUAUAAGCCAGGGAAAUGCCUCUGGUGAAUCGAAACUAUGGUCAUUUGGGUCCAACUCCGAUUCUGAGGAGUGACUCGUUACUUGGAUACACAGAACAGAGCUCGUUGAUGAUGGAGAAGAGACAAUUGUUCCUGAGAAGCUACCAGUUCUGCAGAAAAAAGAGCCUUACAGAAAGAACGAAGACAUCUUUGGUCAGAGUGAAGAAAGUUAUAUGGCUGAAACUGCGAUCUGCUUGUAAACUUCGAAGGUUGGUGUGUCUGGACUUCGUUAUUCAUUCUACUUCCGCCGCAGAAGAACUUUUUUACGUUUCCGUAGUCCUGAUCACCAUUACUACUCUUUCUCCUCUCCUUCUUCUUGUUCCUGCUUCUCGUAGGAGUUCUACAGUUUCUCACUUCGUUUCUUUCUGCUUCUCCCUGUUUUCUGGAUACCCUGUUUGUGUUUAUGAUGAUAUCUGCAAUAUGUCUAGCCCAGAAAAGCUUUAAAAUCUCUAUUUAAAUUUAUAUCAACUUGUUUGCAACAUGCGAGAUGUUUUAAACUAGUAAAUUACUCUCCAACUCUGUAUUCUAUCAAGAAAAUUCUCAAUUGUUG
rnacentral:misc_RNA from 1 species